UACGUAGGGCGCAAGCGUUGUCCGGAAUUAUUGGGCGUAAAGAGCUCGUAGGCGGCCUGUUGCGUCCGCUGUGAAAUCCCGGGGGCUUAACCCCGGGCGUGCAGUGGAUACGGGCAGGCUGGAGGCAGGCAGGGGAGAACGGAAUUCCCGGUGUAGCGGUGAAAUGCGCAGAUAUCAGGAGGAACACCGGUGGCGAAGGCGGGUCUCUGGGCCGAUACUGACGCUGAGGAGCGAAAGCGUGGGGAGCGAACAGG
rnacentral:rRNA from 1 species